GCAUCUUAAGAUUAGCCAUGCAUGUCUAGUAUAAAUGGUAUACAAUGAAACUGCGAAUGGCUCAUUAAAACAGUUAUAGUUUAUUUGGUAACCAAACUUACAUGGAUAACCGUGGUAAUUCUAGAGCUAAUACAUGCUGUCAAGCCCGACUCACGAAGGGCCGUAUUUAUUAUAUAUCAGCCAAUAAGCAUCUGCUAUUGUGGUGACUCAUAGUAACUUAACCGGAUCGCAUGGGCUUGCCCCGCGACAAAACAUUCAAGUUUCUGCCCCAUCAUGCUUUCGAUGGUAGUGUAUUGGACUACCAUGGCUUCUCACUGCCUAACGGAAGAUUAACGCUUCGCUUCUUCAUACGAAAGCGGAGAAAAAUUAAUCCCU
rnacentral:rRNA from 1 species